UACGGAGGGUGCGAGCGUUGUCCGGAAUUACUGGGCGUAAAGGGUUCGUAGGUGGCCUGCUAAGUCACACGUGAAAUCCCUCAGCUUAACUGGGGAACUGCGUGUGAUACUGGCGAGCUUGAGUGCAGGAGAGGAACGCGGAAUUCCAGGUGUAGCGGUGAAAUGCGUAGAUAUGUGGAGGAAUACCGGUGGCGAAGGCGGCCUCCUGGUUCAAUACUGACGCUGAGGUGCGAAAGCGUGGGGAGCAAACAGG
rnacentral:rRNA from 1 species